rnacentral:lncRNA from 1 species
CACUAAGAAUUAGGUAAAAACCUCUUAAGGAAGUCUUCAUCAAGUUCCUUUGAUUAUUAAGAUGGAUUGCAGCUGGUUUAUUUUAUGAUAUCAGAAACAAAAUCAGAUUUCAAAUAUGCCCUAUUUUUCCUUCCAUCGUUGAUUUGAUUCUGAUGUCAUCCACCGUCAUUAUUCAUCGGAUCGGAGAUUUAUGACCUCACCACC